UAAUACAGCCGAAUUGUAUUUGAAAGUAGC
rnacentral:piRNA from 1 species